UGGCGGACGGGUGAGUAAUGUCUGGGAAACUGCCUGAUGGAGGGGGGUAACUACCGGAAACGGUAGCUAAUACCGCAUAACGUCGCAAGACCAAAGAGGGGGACCUUAGGGCCUCUUGCCAUCGGAUGUGCCCAGAUGAGAUUAGCUAGUAGGUGGGGUAAAGGCUCACCUAGGCGACGAUCCCUAGCUGGUCUGAGAGGAUGACCAGCCACACUGGAACUGAGACACGGUCCAG
rnacentral:rRNA from 1 species